AAAGAAAAUGUUGGGCAUUUUUUGAAAUAGGUCCCUCAAAUGGUAGGACAUUUUUUGAAAUAGGUCCCUCAACUUUUUCUUCAUGGGUAAACUUCGUUCCGCCUCCCUCUGGUUUAGUGGUCUUUACUUUACCACCCUCUAUUUUAAAAAACUUACGCUUAAUUAUCAUUUUUAUUUUCAUUUUAUUUGUUUUCCGAUCGAUGAUCGGCACCGUUGAACAUGAUCUGUAUCUUUUAAAAUUUAAACAAUCUAGAAAUCAAAUUCACAACUUUUCAACAUCACUAAUUGAACGACCAAAGGGUCAUAAAAUUUGUAAAUUUUAAUGGCCGAUAAGAUGCGUUUGAUUAUUUAACGAUAUAGAAGAGUCCAAAUUAGCUGAAUUUUUAUUAGAAAAUUCUGUAAACUAUUUAAGGAUAUUCAGUUUCAGGUCUUCAUUUUACGUCAACUGAUGGACAAAGAAAAAUUAUCAAAAAAAUAUGAAAUUUGAUUUCUAAAUAGUUAACAAGGUCUAGAUCUUGUUCAACGAUACCAAUCAUCAAUUUGAAAAUUCUAUCAUUGAAAAUAAAUCAGUAGUAAACUAGGCUAUUUACCACCGAUAGUAUUGUAAUCUCUCUCUCUCUCUCUCUCUCUCUCU
rnacentral:lncRNA from 1 species